rnacentral:rRNA from 1 species
AUUGAACGCUGGCGGCAUGCUUUACACAUGCAAGUCGGACGGCAGCACAGAGGAGCUUGCUUCUUGGGUGGCGAGUGGCGAACGGGUGAGUAACGCAUCGGAACGUACCGAGUAAUGGGGGAUAACUGUCCGAAAGGACAGCUAAUACCGCAUACGCCCUGAUGGGGAAAGCGGGGGAUCUUAGGACCUCGCGUUAUUCGAGCGGCCGAUGUUUGAUUAGCUGGUUGGCGGGGUAAAGGCCCACCAAGGCGGCGAUCAGUAGCGGGUCUGAGAGGAUGAUCCGCCAAGAGGGGACUGAGACAGGGCCGAAGCUCCUACGGGAGGCAGCAGUGGGAAAUUUUGGACAAUGUGCGCAAGCCUGAUCCAGCCAUGCCGCGUAUAAGAAUAAGGCGUUCGGGUGGUAAAGAACGUUUGUCAGGGAAGAAAAGGGGCAUGUUAAUGCCGUGCUCUGAUGACGGUACCUGAAUAAUAAGCAACGGCUAAAUACGUG